rnacentral:rRNA from 1 species
AUAAUUAUGAGUAUAAUCUGCUCAAUGUUAAAUAUCAAUAGCCGCAGAAUUUUAACUGUGCUAAGGUAGCAUAAUCAUUUACCUUUUAAUUGAAGGUUUGCAUGAAAGAUUAAACAUUUAAUAUUUUUUUUAUAUUAAUAUAUCUAAAUUAAACUAUAAAUAAAAAUGUUUAUAUCUCUAAAAUAGACGACAAGACCCUAUUGAACUUUACUAAAGUUUAGCUGGGGAAGCUAAUUAAAUACUAUUUUAAUUCAACUCAUAACAAAGGCACCUGAUUAAAUCAAAUUAUUAAGUUACCAUAGGGAUAACAGCGUAAUAUAUUUCUAAAGCUCUUAUUGAAAAAUAAGAUUACGACCUCGAUGUUGAAUUAAGAUAACUUUUUAACGCAGUAGCGCCAAAAGUGGGUCUGU